rnacentral:rRNA from 1 species
AUUGAACGCUGGCGGCAGGCCUAACACAUGCAAGUCGAACGGUAGCACAGAGAGCUUGCUCUCGGGUGACGAGUGGCGGACGGGUGAGUAAUGUCUGGGAAACUGCCCGAUGGAGGGGGAUAACUACUGGAAACGGUAGCUAAUACCGCAUAACGUCUUCGGACCAAAGUGGGGGACCUUCGGGCCUCACACCAUCGGAUGUGCCCAGAUGGGAUUAGCUAGUAGGUGGGGUAAUGGCUCACCUAGGCGACGAUCCCUAGCUGGUCUGAGAGGAUGACCCGCCACACUGGAACUGAGACACGGUCCAGACUCCUACGGGAGGCAGCAGUGGGGAAUAUUGCACAAUGGGCGCAAGCCUGAUGCAGCCAUGCCGCGUGUAUGAAGAAGGCCUUCGGGUUGUAAAGUACUUUCAGCGGGGAGGAAGGCGUUAAGGUUAAUAACCUUGGCGAUUGACGUUACCCGCAGAAGAAGCACCGGCUAACUCCGUGCCAGCAGCCGCAGUAA